CGGACGGGGCCCGCACAAGCGGUGGAGCAUGUGGUUUAAUUCGACGCAACGCGAAGAACCUUACCAGGGCUUGACAUCCCCUGACCGCGUAUGAAAGUACGUUUUCACCUCGGGUGACAGGGAGACAGGUGGUGCAUGGUUGUCGUCAGCUCGUGUCGUGAGAUGUUGGGUUAAGUCCCGCAACGAGCGCAACCCCUACGUUUAGUUGCUAACGCGUGAAGGCGAGCACUCUAGACGAACUGCCGUUGACAAAACGGAGGAAGUGGGAUGACGUCAAAUCAUCAUGCCCCUUAUGUUCUGGGCUACACACGUGCUACAAUGGUUGGUACAACGAGUUGCGAGUCGGUGACGGCGAGCUAAUCUCUUAAAGCCAAUCUCAGUUCGGAUUGUAGGCUGCAACUCGCCUACAUGAAGUCGGAAUCGCUAGUAAUCGCGGAUCAGCACGCCGCGGUGAAUACGUUCCCGGGCCUU
rnacentral:rRNA from 1 species